rnacentral:rRNA from 1 species
UACAGAGGUCUCAAGCGUUGUUCGGAUUCAUUGGGCGUAAAGGGUGCGUAGGCGGCGCGGUAAGUCGGGUGUGAAAUCUCGGAGCUUAACUCCGAAACUGCAUUCGAUACUGCCGUGCUUGAGGACUGGAGAGGAGACUGGAAUUUACGGUGUAGCGGUGAAAUGCGUAGAUAUCGUAAGGAAGACCAGUGGCGAAGGCGGGUCUCUGGACAGUUCCUGACACUGAGGCACGAAGGCCAGGGAGCAAACGGG